rnacentral:rRNA from 1 species
AGUUCGAUCCUGGCUCAGAUUGAACGCUGGCGGAUGCUUGCAUACACAAGUCGAACGCACAAAGGCGGCACGACUUUGGCCUGCGGCGGCGUUUUAACGGGCAGGAAUACCGGAACGCCUAGUAGCGGGGAUAACUACGCGAAAGCGUAGCUAAUACCGCAUGGCCGCCCUUCGGGGGAAAGCGGGGGACCUUCUUCGGGCCUCGGCACUAUUAGAGCGGCUGAUAUCGGAUUAGCUAGUUGGUGGGGUAACGCCUCACUGGCGACGAUCCGUAGCUAGUUUGAGGACGACCAGCCACACUGGGACUGAGACACGGCCCAGACUCCUACGGGAGGCAGCAGUGGGGAAUUUUGACAAUGGGGGAACCCGAUCCAGCCAUCCCGCGUGUGCGAUGAAGGCCUUCGGGUUGUAAAGCACUUUUGGCAGGAAGAAACGGCACGGGAUAAUACCCCGUGCAACUGACGGUACCUGCAGAAUAAGCACCGGCUAACUACGUGCCAGCAGCCAGCAGUGCAGAAUACGUAGGUAAGCGACUGGAACAUUGGGCGUAAAGCGUGCGCAGGCGGUUCGGAAAGAAAGAUGUGAAAUCCCAGAGCUUAACUUCUUGAACUGCAUUUUUAACUACCGAGCUAGAGUGUGUCAGAGGGAGGUGGAAUUCCGCGUGUAGCAGUGAAAUGUCGUAGAUAUGCGGAGGAACACCGAUGGCAGCAGCCUCUGGGAUAACACUGACGCUCAUGCACGAAAGCGUGGGGAAGCAAACAGAUUAGAUACUCCUGGUAGUCCACGCCCUAAAACGAUGUCAACUAGCUUUCGUUGGGGCCUUCGGGCCUUGGUAGCGCAGCUAACGCGUGAAGUUGACCGCCUGGGGAGUACGGUCGCAAGAUUAAAACCUCAAAGGAAUUGACGGGGACCCGCACAAGCGGUGGAUGAUGUGGAUUAAUUCGAUGCAACGCGAAAAAACCUUAUCUACCCUUGACAUGUCUGGAAUCCCGAAGAGAUUUGGGAGUGCUUCGCAAGAGAACCGGAACACAGGUGCUGUAUGGCUGUCGUCAGCUCGUGUCGAGAUGUUGGGUUAAGUCCCGCAACGAGCGCAACCCUUGUCAUUAGUUGCUACGAAAGGGCACUCUAAUGAGACUGCUUGCGACAAACCGGAGGAAGGGUGGGGAUGACGUCAAGUCCUCAUGGCCCUUAUGGGUAGGGCUUCACACGUCAUACAAUGGUCGGGACAGAGGGUCGCCAACCCGCGAGGGGGAGCCAAUCCCAGAAACCCGAUCGUAGUCCGGAUCGCAGUCUGCAACUCGACUGUGUGAAGUCGGAAUCGCUAGUAAUCGCGGAUCAGCAUGUCGCGGUGAAUACGUUCCCGGAAGUCUUGUACACACCGCCCGUCACACCAUGGAGGGUUUUACCAGAAGUAGUUAGCCUAACCGUAAGGAGGGCGAUUACCACGGUAGGAUUCAUGACUGGGGUGAAGUCGUAACAAGGUAA